rnacentral:sRNA from 1 species
UGAGGACACCGACUAUAGUCAUGCUGUGGGUGCAGACCAGCUGCUCAAGGAGCCACCAUUCCCUCUGAGCACACGAUCCAUCAUGGAGCCCAUGUCCCUGGAUGCCUGGCUGGACAGCCACCGCAGGGAGCUGCAGGCAGGCACACCACUCAGCCUGUUUGGGGACACCUAUGAGACCCAGGUGAUCGCCUAUGGGCAAGGCAGCAGCAAAGGCCUGAGACAGAAUGUGGACGUGUGGCUGUGGCAGCUGGAGGGCUCCUCGGUGGUGACAAUGGGGGGACGGCGCCUGAGCCUGGCCCCUGAUGACAGCCUCCUGGUGCUAGCUGGGACCUCGUGAGUACGCGGGGAGGGCUUUCCCUGGGAUCCUCAGGGUCCAGCUCUGUGUGACCCCUGCUCAUCUGUGUGUCCACAGGUAUGCCUGGGAGCGAACACAAGGCUCUGUGGCCCUGUCUGUGACCCAGGACCCUGCCUGCAAGAAGCCCCUGGGGUGACCCUCUAGCCAUGGCCUGAAGCAGCCACAGGUGUGCCAAGCACCCUCGAGUGCCAUCCCUGCCAAACAACUCUCCCAGCCCCCACUACCUCUCUGUGUACUGCCGCUGUGUCCCCCACAGACCUGGACAUUGUUGUCACCCACCCUCCUGCCCUUCUCAGCCCAGAUGCCACGCCCCUGGGCAGGCAGCAGCUCCCCAUCUUCUCUGGCAGCCUCAGCCCACUGCCUUGCCAGUCUUGCCAGGUGGUCUACCCCCAGCCCCGCUCCUGCCCAUUCCUCUGUCCCUGCAGACUCAGUGCGGCACUUCCACACCAAGAAGGCCCUCAAUAAAGGCUUCCUGAGGAACGCA